AGAGUUGAUUAUGGCUCAGGAUGAACGCUAGCUACAGGCUUAACACAUGCAAGUCGAGGGGCAGCAUGAUCAAAGCUUGCUUGAUGAUGGCGACCGGCGCACGGGUGAGUAACGCGUAUCCAACCUUCCCUAUAGUAGAGGAUAGCCCGGCGAAAGUCGGAUUAAUACUCUAUGUUUUCCAAUGCAGACAUCUAAAAUGGAACAAAGGUUUACCGCUAUAGGAUGGGGAUGCGUCUGAUUAGGUUGUCGGCGGGGUAACGGCCCACCAAGCCUACGAUCAGUAGGGGUUCUGAGAGGAAGGUCCCCCACAUUGGAACUGAGACACGGUCCAAACUCCUACGGGAGGCAGCAGUGAGGAAUAUUGGUCAAUGGGCGAGAGCCCGAACCAGCCAAGUAGCGUGCAAGGAUGACGGCCCUAUGGGUUGUAAACUGCUUUUAUAUAGGGAUAAAGUGCACUACGUGUAGUGUUUUGUAGGUACUAUAUGAAUAAGGACCGGCUAAUUCCGUGCCAGCCGCAGC
rnacentral:rRNA from 1 species